GCCAAAAAGUGCGUUCGGAUUUUUCCAUAACGUCUUGGGGGGAACCCGAACGAACUUUUUGGC
rnacentral:miRNA from 1 species